rnacentral:misc_RNA from 1 species
GAAAUGCGAUAAGUAAUGUGAAUUGCAGAAUUCAGUGAAUCAUCGAAUCUUUGAACGCACCCUGCGCUCCUUGGUAUUCCUUGGAGCAUGCCUGUUUGAGUAUCAUGAAAUCUUCAAAGUAAAUCUUUUGUUAACUCAAUUGGUUUCUACUUUGGUAUUGGAGGUCUUUGCAGCUUCACACCUGCUCCUCUUUGUUCAUUAGCUGGAUCUCAGUGUUAUGCUUGGUUCCACUCGGCGUGAUAAGUUAUCUAUCGCUGAGGACACUGUAAAAGGUGGCCAAGGUAAAUGCAGAUGAACCGCUUCUAAUAGUCCAUUGACUUGGACAAUACUUUUAUGAUCUGAUCUCAAAUCAGGUAGGAAUACCCGCUGAACUUAAGC